rnacentral:rRNA from 1 species
GGGUUGUGAGGUUAAGCGAAUAAGCGUACACGGUGGAUGCCUAGGCAAUCAGAGGCGAUGAAGGACGUGCUAAUCUGCGAAAAGCGUCGGUAAGGUGAUAUGAACCGUUAUACCCGACGAUAUCCGAAUGGGGAAACCCAGUAUCCAAUGGAUACUAUCAUUAACUGAAUCCAUAGGUUAAUGAGGCGAACCGGGAGAACUGAAACAUCUCAGUACCCCGAGGAAAAGAAAUCAACCGAGAUUCCCCUAGUAGCGGCGAGCGAACGGGGAGCAGCCCAGAGUCUUAAUCAAUAGCAGUGUCAGGAGAACGGUCUGGAAAGUCCGGCAGUAAAGGGUGAUAGCCCCGUAUCUGAAGAUGCUGUUAUUGUGAACUCGACGAGUAGGGCGGGACACGUGUUAUCCUGUCUGAAUAUGGGGGGACCAUCCUCCAAGGCUAAAUACUCCUGAUUGACCGAUAGUGAACCAGUACCGUGAGGGAAAGGCGAAAAGAACCCCGGCGAGGGGAGUGAAAAAGAACCUGAAACCGUGUACGUACAAGCAGUAGGAGCCUCUUUAUGGGGUGACUGCGUACCUUUUGUAUAAUGGGUCAGCGACUUAUAUUCUGUAGCAAGGUUAACCGUAUAGGGGAGCCGUAGGGAAACCGAGUCUUAACUGGGCGAAUGAGUUGCAGGGUAUAGACCCGAAACCCGGUGAUCUAUCCAUGGGCAGGUUGAAGGUUGGGUAACACUAACUGGAGGACCGAACCGACUAAUGUUGAAAAAUUAGCGGAUGACUUGUGGAUGGGGGUGAAAGGCCAAUCAAACCGGGAGAUAGCUGGUUCUCCCCGAAAGCUAUUUAGGUAGCGCCUCGUGAACUCAUCUUCGGGGGUAGAGCACUGUUUCGACUAGGGGGUCAUCCCGACUUACCAACUCGAUGCAAACUGCGAAUACCGAAGAAUGUUAUCACGGGAGACACACGGCGGGUGCUAACGUCCGUCGUGAAGAGGGAAACAACCCAGACCGCCAGCUAAGGUCCCAAAGUCAUGGUUAAGUGGGAAACGAAGUGGGAAGGCUCAGACAGCCAGGAUGUUGGCUUAGAAGCAGCCAUCAUUUAAAGAAAGCGUAAUAGCUCACUGGUCGAGUCGGCCCGCGCGGAAGAUGUAACGGGGCUAAACCAUGCACCGAAGCUGCGGCAGCGACACAAAGUGUUGUUGGGUAGGGGAGCGUUCUGUAAGCCUGCGAAGGUGUACUGUGAGGUAUGCUGGAGGUAUCAGAAGUGCGAAUGCUGACAUAAGUAACGAUAAUGCGGGUGAAAAACCCGCACGCCGGAAGACCAAGGGUUCCUGUCCAACGUUAAUCGGGGCAGGGUGAGUCGACCCCUAAGGCGAGGCUGAAAAGCGUAGUCGAUGGGAAACGGGUUAAUAUUCCCGUACUGGUGGUAACUGCGAUGGGGGAACGGAGAAGGCUAGGUUGUCCGGGCGACGGUCGUCCCGGUUCAAGCAGGUAGGCAGAGUGAUUAGGCAAAUCCGGUCACUUAAUGCUGAGAUGUGAUGACGAACCACCAAGGUGGUGAAGCAAUUGAUGCCCCGCUUCCAGGAAAAGCCUCUAAGCUUCAGGUUACCAACAAUCGUACCCCAAACCGACACAGGUGGUCAGGUAGAGAAUACUCAGGCGCUUGAGAGAACUCGGGUGAAGGAACUAGGCAAAAUGGUGCCGUAACUUCGGGAGAAGGCACGCUGGCGGUAGGUAAAGUCCCUUGCGGACGGAGCUGAAGCCAGUCGAAGAUACCAGCUGGCUGCAACUGUUUAUUAAAAACACAGCACUGUGCAAACACGAAAGUGGACGUAUACGGUGUGACGCCUGCCCGGUGCUGGAAGGUUAAUUGAUGGGGUUAGCCGUAAGGCGAAGCUCCUGAUCGAAGCCCCAGUAAACGGCGGCCGUAACUAUAACGGUCCUAAGGUAGCGAAAUUCCUUGUCGGGUAAGUUCCGACCUGCACGAAUGGCGUAAUGAUGGCCAGGCUGUCUCCACCCGAGACUCAGUGAAAUUGAACUCGCUGUGAAGAUGCAGUGUACCCGCGGCAAGACGGAAAGACCCCGUGAACCUUUACUAUAGCUUGACACUGAACAUUGAGCCUUGAUGUGUAGGAUAGGUGGGAGGCUUUGAAGUGUGGACGCCAGUCUGCAUGGAGCCAACCUUGAAAUACCACCCUUUAACGUUUGAUGUUCUAACCUAGGCCCAUAAACUGGGUCGGGGACCGUGUCUGGUGGGUAGUUUGACUGGGGCGGUCUCCUCCUAAAGAGUAACGGAGGAGCACGAAGGUUGGCUAAGCAUGGUCGGACAUCAUGCGGUUAGUGCAAAGGCAUAAGCCAGCUUGACUGCGAGAGUGACGGCUCGAGCAGGUACGAAAGUAGGUCUUAGUGAUCCGGUGGUUCUGAAUGGAAGGGCCAUCGCUCAACGGAUAAAAGGUACUCCGGGGAUAACAGGCUGAUACCGCCCAAGAGUUCAUAUCGACGGCGGUGUUUGGCACCUCGAUGUCGGCUCAUCACAUCCUGGGGCUGAAGUAGGUCCCAAGGGUAUGGCUGUUCGCCAUUUAAAGUGGUACGCGAGCUGGGUUUAGAACGUCGUGAGACAGUUCGGUCCCUAUCUGCCGUGGGCGUUGGAAGAUUGAGAGGGGUUGCUCCUAGUACGAGAGGACCGGAGUGAACGCACCACUGGUGUUCGGGUUGUCAUGCCAAUGGCAUUGCCCGGUAGCUAAGUGCGGAAGAGAUAACCGCUGAAAGCAUCUAAGCGGGAAACUUGCCUCGAGAUGAGUCUUCCCUGUCGCUUUAAGCGACCUAAAGGAACGUUUAAGACUAAGACGUUGAUAGGCUGGGUGUGUAAGCGUAGCGAUACGUUGAGCUAACCAGUACUAAUGAACCGUGAGGCUUAACCUGACAACACCGAAAGUGUUUUG